rnacentral:ncRNA from 1 species
GGGGACCUUCGGGGCCCUAUACCACUGGUCACCCGAUCCUCUGCCUUUGUGUGAUGGACGGGGGGCUGAACACAUAGGCCGCCGCCGACAGGGCAGGGGCCGCAGCUAAACGGAAGACAGAAA